GACGAAGGGGGGCUAGCGUUGUUCGGAAUUACUGGGCGUAAAGCGAGUGUAGGCGGUUGCCCAAGUCAGGUGUGAAAGCCUUGAGCUCAACUCAAGAAAUGCACUUGGUACUGGGUGGCUAGAGGACCGGAGAGGAUAGUGGAAUUCCCCAGUGUAGUGGUGAAAUACGUAGAGAUUGGGAAGAACACCAGUGGCGAAGGCGGCUAUCUGGACGGUUACUGACGCUAAGACUCGAAAGCGUGGGGAGCAACAGG
rnacentral:rRNA from 1 species